UACGUAGGGUGCGAGCGUUAAUCGGAAUUACUGGGCGUAAAGUGUGCGCAGGCGGCGCCGCAAGUCGAGUGUGAAAGCCCCGGGCUUAACUUGGGAAUUGCGCUCGAAACUAUGGUGCUGGAGUGUGGCAGAGGAAGGUGGAAUUCCACGUGUAGCGGUGAAAUGCGUAGAGAUGUGGAGGAACACCGAUGGCUAAGGCAGCCUUCUGGGCCAACACUGACGCUCAUGCAC
rnacentral:rRNA from 1 species